rnacentral:rRNA from 1 species
UGAGGAAUAUUGGUCAAUGGGCGAAAGCCUGAACCAGCCAUGUCGCGUGAAGGAAGACGGUUCUAUGGAUUGUAAACUUCUUUUAUACGGGAAGAAUGUUUCUACGUGUAGAGAUUCGACGGUACCGUAUGAAUAAGCAUCGGCUAACUCGCCAGCAGCCGCGGUAAUACGGAGGAUGCAAGCGUUAUCCGGAUUCAUUGGGUUUAAAGGGUGCGUAGGCGGAAAUGUAAGUCUGGGGUGAAAGUUUGUGGCUCAACCAUAAAAUUGCCUUGGAUACUGUAUUUCUUGAGUACAUUUGAGGUAGGCGGAAUGUGUUGUGUAGCGGUGAAAUGCUUAGAUAUAACACAGAACACCGAUUGCGAAGGCAGCUUACUAAACUGUAACUGACGCUGAUGCACGAAAGCGUGGGGAUCGAACAGGAUUAGAUACCCUGGUAGUCCACGCCGUAAACGAUGAUAACUAGUUGUUUGCAAUAGACCGUAAGCGACAAAGCGAAAGCAUAAGUUAUCCACCUGGGAGUACG